GGCCUUGUUGUGGUGCGGGCCGAUAAGCUGCGCUUAAAUCAGGCCAUGGUUAGGUUCGCUGGUUCUCAAAGCUAGAGAUUAGAGAAACAGAGACAGAACGAACGAAUAACAAAUAGUUAUCAGUUUAAAUAUCAUAUUUCUGAUAUCUACAGCGCUUAUCGGUUCGUUAUCAGUGCGCUCAAAAGGAAACGGGAAAACAAACACCAAAAUCAGUAAUUACUCGUUAUUAUUAUAGUUUAACACGUGUUUGGUGUCUUCAAUUGAGUGUCUCAUCGAUUUACAUUAUUGUCUGUAAAUCUUUGUUUACAAUAAAUUUUGAUUUAGGCAGUCAUCAAAUACUUAAAUAAUGGUUUGUGUACCAUGUGUGCUUGUGCCAUUGUUGCUCUUCAUAUGGGGUAUUAUCAAGCCCAUGUUAAACUGGUUCAGAACACCAGUUGAAAAUUCUGAAGACCAAAAUAAUGCUGGCGAUGAUCAAGUUUGCUCAUUGCUUUCAUCCUGCCCAUGUAUUAAUAAAAACAUAAAAUCACCCGGGAAUCAAGCAGAUAAGACAAACAAGAGUGAAACACUACUCAAAGAACCACUUGAAACAUCUGAUACCGAAAAAAAGGACCUUUAAAUGUAUUAUUACAGAAAUUUAUUAUAAGAAUUAAUUUUUUCAUUGCUAUGAUGAAUUGAAUUAUUUUGUGGUUCUAUCUGUUUAAAUAAUCAUUUUUAUUUAAAAGCUGUAUUAUGUAUUUAAUAUAAUGUUAUAUUCUAUAUUUUAAUGUCUUAUAUAUUUUUUUUUUAUCAUAAAUAGAAUAAGGUAUUGUAAGUUAGAAUCAAAAAUUAUUUUAACUGGAUUUUAUGUUAGUUUAUGGUUUUGUCAUGUUAUGUUACUUUUCACUUGUAAUAAGUAAUCAUUGUUACCACUUCUCAUUAAUUACAUUUCAAACUGUUAAAUAAUUUUAAAAUACACACCAUUUGAUUACAAUUUAAAUUUCAAAUUUAAAGUUAGUGUAAAAAUAGGAAUUAUACCACAUUAUAUUUAUAUUGUUUAGCUGUAUAAGAAUUAUGGGCAAAUAUAGUAAUAACUAAAUUAACAUUCCUCUCUGCUCAUAUUUAACAUAUCCUUAGAAAUUUAUUGUUUAAUAGAGAUACACUUAGACACUCUUUUGAUGGCGCUUUAGUUUUUUUUUAAUUUUAUGUAUAAUCAAUUCAUUAUUGUAUCAAUUAUUUAUUAGAUACCUUUGCGUUAACAUUUUAUAAUUGCAAUAGUUUAUAUAUUAGUGAAUUAAUUUUACACUAGUGUAAUCAAUAAGUCAUAAUUCACUAAGUAAUUAAUCACAUAUCAUUUUUAAUAUACAUUUCAAAAAUUGUAUUAUUGGUAUUUAUGAAUAUAUAUAAUAUGAAAAUAAAUUAAUAUAUUUCUAUGGUUGAUAGAUGAUACAUGGUUUUAAGUGAUUGAAAGGUAUUAUUUUGUUACUUACUUUAUGAAAAUAUUAAAUAUUAUGUGUAUUUUAAAUUUUUUCUGUAAUGUAUAUAAUUCAUUUAUAAUAUCAAUAAUCAUGAAUUUAAGAUGAACAGGCCAUAUCAUUCCUGGUGAUACAGUUUAUGUUUGUCAAUAAGCUACUUUUAUUUACAAUACUAAAAUAUAGAUAGUGUAAAUUGUAAUGUUUUUCUUAGUUUGUGGUGAAAAUUGAAUAUUUCAUUUGAGACAAAAUUAUUUUAUGAUCAAAACAAUAAAGAUCCACCAUAAACCAUGUU